UACGGAAGGGGCAAGCGUUGUUCGGAAUCAUUGGGCGUAAAGGGCGCGCAGGUGGUUCUGUAUGUCUACCGUGAAAGCGUACGGCUCAACCGUAUUUUGUCGGUAGAAACUGCAGGACUUGAGGCUGGGAGGGGCUGGUGGAAUUCCCUGUGUAGCGGUGAAAUGCGUAGAGAUGGGGGAGAACACUCGUGGCGAAGGCGGCCAGCUAGACCAGUUCUGACACUGGAGGCGCGACAGCGUGGGGAGCAAACAGG
rnacentral:rRNA from 1 species